GAACGCUGGCGGCAGGCCUAACACAUGCAAGUCGAACGCUGUAGCAAUACAGAGUGGCAGACGGGUGAGUAACACGUGGGAAUCUUCCUAUCGGUACGGAAUAGCUCAGGGAAACUUGGGGUAAUACCGCAUACGCCCUUCGGGGGAAAGAUUUAUCGCCGAUAGAUGAGCCCGCGUCUGAUUAGCUAGUUGGUGAGGUAAUGGCUCACCAAGGCGACGA
rnacentral:rRNA from 1 species